rnacentral:rRNA from 1 species
CAAGAAAAACCUCUAGCGAGGCAACAAGGUGCCCGUACCGCAAACCGACACAGGUAGGCGGGGUGAGAAUCCUAAGGCGCGCGAGAGAACCCUCGUUAAGGAACUCGGCAAAAUGACCCCGUAACUUUGGGAGAAGGGGUGCCCCGUUAGCGUGAAGGACUUUUACGUUUGGAGCGCGAGGGGGUCGCAGAGAAAAGGCCCAAGCGACUGUUUACCAAAAACACAGGUUCCUGCUAAAUCGCAAGAUGACGUAUA